UGUUUAUCUUUCGUUUUUUAUAUGAAGUAUCUUUGUAAAUUGCUUUCUUGAAUUCAAGAGACAACAUUAUAUUUCAUUUAGAUAAACAUUCCGAAUAAAUCAAUUUAAUUUUACGAUAUGACUUUUCGGACCGACUCCCUCUCUUUGCUAUCCUUGCAUUUUUGGGUUAAUGCGAUACAUACAUAAUAUGUACACAAAGAAAAUGGUAAAAGAUAUAUGGUGAAAUUAUUAUCAAAUAUAUGAAAUACCAACGAGUUCGCCUAGCUGCAUACAUAAAAUUCAAAGUAAAGGAGACCAAUUAAAAUGGCGCAGAGAAAAACGCGAAACUGUGAAAUGGACAUGUCUACAUUACGCCCAAUAAGAUAAAAUAGAACCAAAAGUACAAACCUCUUAGUAUAACUGUGUCUAUUUCUUGACAAAGAAUUGAGCAAUAAAUUGGUGAAUAAACAAAUUGAAAGUUCAACGACAACAAGAACAGGAACAAGGAUAACGACAACGACGACGACGACAACGAUGAGAACGACAACGGCGAGAACAACGCCGUGCGAGACAUGCGAGCCAACUACAUGGUAGAAAAUUUACGCAAUUUUGGUCUACGCAGAAAACUGUACCACCACCCGACGAGGACGAUGACAACAACGACGACGACGACGAGGACGAUGUGAGAGUGAACAACAGCGACGAGUGCGCACCAUUUGCUAACGCGAGAGCGCAAGCGAGAUGCAUGCUGACUAACAGGACGAAAAACAUUCGGAAUAGGCGAGACAAAAGUAACGAGUCGAAGUCAGGAGAGCGAACUGCCAAAUGUUUCUGUGUGUGUGUGUGUUCGCUUGUAUGCGUGUGCCAUUUGGUAUAUAAGUAAAAUGCAUUGUGUAUAUGAAAAUUUGAAAAUUUAUAACUCACUUGUGUGCGCUUCGUUGAGUUUUGCCUCUCGUUUACUCUCUCUCUUUUUUUUAAUAUAAUUCUCUCUCUUUUUUGUGUUUCCCUCUCUUUUUCUCUUGCUUGGUGGUUGUAUAGAUCCCAAUUGUUUAUUGUUUGAAUUGAAGUUUUAGUUUAUUGCACA